rnacentral:misc_RNA from 1 species
CCGAGUGCGGGCCCUCGCGCCCAACCUCCCAACCCUUUGUCGAUUCAUAUCUGUUGCCUCGGGGGGCGACCCGGACGUCGCGCCGGGAGUCCCCCAGAGGUCCAACCCAACACACUGCGUCUUUGCGUCGGAGUAUUGAAUAACAAUCAAUCA